GAUGAACGCUGGCGGCGUGCCUAAUACAUGCAAGUCGAGCGAACGGACGAGAAGCUUGCUUCUCUGAUGUUAGCGGCGGACGGGUGAGUAACACGUGGAUAACCCACCUAUAAGACUGGGAUAACUUCGGGAAACCGUAGCUAAUACCGGAUAAUAUUUUGAACCGCAUGGUUCAAAAGUGAAAGACGGUCUUGCUGUCACUUAUAGAUGGAUCCGCGCUGCAUUAGCUAGUUGGUAAGGUAACGGCUUACCAAGGCAACGAUGCAUAGCCGACCUGAGAGGGUGAUCGGCCACACUGGAACUGAGACACGGUCCAGACUCCUACGGGAGGCAGCAGUAGGGAAUCUUCCGCAAUGGGCGAAAGCUUGACGGAGCAACGCCGCGUGAGUGAUGAAGGUCUUCGGAUCGUAAAACUCUGUUAUUAGGGAAGAACAAAUGUGUAAGUAACUAUGCACGUCUUGACGGUACCUAAUCAGAAAGCCACGGCUAACUACGUG
rnacentral:rRNA from 1 species